CCUACGGGAUGCACCAGUGGGGAAUAUUGGACAAUGGGCGAAAGCCUGAUCCAGCAAUGCCGCGUGUGUGAAGAAGGUCUGCGGAUUGUAAAGCUCUUUCGACGGGGACGAUGAUGACGGUACCCGUAGAAGAAGCCCCGGCUAACUUCGUGCCAGCAGCCGCGGUAAUACGAAGGGGGCUAGCGUUGCUCGGAAUGACUGGGCGUAAAGGGCGCGUAGGCGGUUUAUGCAGUCAGAUGUGAAAUCCCCCGGGCUUAACCUGGGAACUGCAUUUGAGACGCAUAGACUAGAGGUCGAGAGAGGGUUGUGGAAUUCCCAGUGUAGAGGUGAAAUUCGUAGAUAUUGGGAAGAAAACCGGUGGCGAAGGCGGCAACCUGGCUCGAUACUGACGCUGAGGCGCGAAAGCGUGGGGAGCAAACAGGAUUAGAUACCCUAGUAGUC
rnacentral:rRNA from 1 species